rnacentral:lncRNA from 1 species
GGCUUUCUGGUAUGGCGCGGCCUUUGUCUCUUGCUGCCGCUGGAGCUCCAGAUCUCUUGUUCACUGCUCUGUGUUCUCUGCUCAUAGAGGCCCAGCCUCUGAGGCCCUUUGACCUGCAGGUAUUGGGAGAUCCACAGCCAAGAGCCAGGACCCCCUAGAAGUCUAGAAAUGAGUCUCACUCUGUUGCUGAGGCUGGGGUGCAAUGGCAUGAUCUCGGCUCACUGCAACCGCUGCCUCCCGGGUUCAAGCGAUUCUUCUGCCUCAGCCUCUUGAGUAGCUGGGAUUACAGACCUUAAACAGAUUCAGAGACCGUGGGGCCAACAAACUGAACUGGAGUAACAUGUGAAUUGAGUAGACAUGUAGACAAGAAAGUCUCCACUAUCCCCUUUCUACUCUUGCUGAAAUGCUCACUAAUGUGCAAGUAACACCUGCUGCUACUCCUGCCAUUCAGGACCUAAAUCUGUAGCUCCAUAUUUUGAAUCCAGAUCUUGAGAUUUGGGAAAUAAAAAACUUUUAUCUAAAAAGUGCAAGCACUUUUGGUUAUCAAACUCAGAGAGAUGUUAAAAUGAAAGAGCAGUUAACAUCUUUCUCUCCCCUUUGAACUAUGUAUUCAUCCCUUGAAACUGUUCACUAUUG